AUACAGCUACACUUCGUAUAAAAUUUGUUUUUACAAAACAAAAAGUGUUUUUGUUCUUACAAGAGUAUUUUAAAAUCUUGAUUCAGUUCGGGGUAAUGAUAGUUCGUUCGGUUCGGUCGUACGUGAGGUUCUAAUUCGGUUCGUUUGUUUCGGUUUGUUUUUCCCAUCGCUAAAUUAGAGAGCUCAUAAAAUAUUUGCCGCCCAUAUACUUCCUGUCAUCCCGUCUAUUUCUGUCUACGUCACGACUACUUAGACGUCCGCUUAAUCUAUAUUUAAAUGCGUUUAAAAACAUUUUUUUUUUUGGGUUGGGUGUUAAAAAAACUAUACGUUUUCAUUCACGCAUUCAGACUAGACGAAGCUUUCACUCAUUGGAAACAAAUCGCAUUACCUACGGGUAAAUCAAACAUGAACGCGGAUUCACGCAUAACACAUUUUUGUAUUUUAAAUAGUUUUUUGCUAAUUGUAUUUUUGAUCUAGUGUGAAUGGCGUUUCGAUCGUAGUGUUUGUAUUGUACGUAUAUAUGAAGUUUCGGUUGUAGUGUUUGUUGUGUACGUGUAAAUGACGCGUCAGUUGUAGUGUUUGUAGUGUACGUGUAAAGCUUCGAGUUUAUAAACGAUUUUUAUAUAUUGCAAACAACACCUUACACAGAUACUAGGGAAAUUACUUAAAUCAUGCAUCCCAAGCCAGGCGACAUUUCUUUUUGUCUGCAUACAUACAAUGUUAGAUUACACCCUAAAGUGCAAGACGGUGCAACAUAACAAGACUUUUUUUUACAAUACAAUUCAAGUCACUCCUAUAUAGAGGAACCUGAGUGGACAGCUGAUCUCAAAAACGUCUCGAACGAUUAUCCUAGAAAUGUAACAGAAAUGUGAUAAUAGAUAUGGUCUCCUUCAGUAGCGAAGCGAUUAUGGAUCAUCUCAUGGAAAUAAGAUGAAUGCCUGGGCAUUAGCUGUCGUCUGAGCAAUGUCGCCAGCACAUCAAUUUCUCCCCUCUUCACGCAGCUGAUGUAUCCAAAGGAACUGCAGUGCCGAUUCAGCUAGGGGUCAGCGACAUCGAAGGUUCACCCAGGGUGUAGCUAUAAUUUGGGUGCUGUAAACUGCCUUAUGCUCCUGAUUUUUCCUCAGGGUUGACUUCCGAAGCCUUUUCCAUGAUUGGGUAUAGCUGCUAGGAAACAGGUUUGAAUUCAGAGUUUUCCUUCUCCUAGAUUGGUAGCCAGCAAUGGCUAACGAGCCCCACCUGCCCGAAGCGCACUGGUUUAGGCGCCAGUUACUCGCCUUUGCCCCUUCUCCUGUUAUUGAGAACAGUUUCGCCGGACUCAAUAUCUGAACCACAAGUGAAGGCCAUGAGUUGGACUGGUUGUCAGAGGCUAUUUUAGACGCAUGCCAUUAGUAAGCAUUUUAUAGGUAGUAGAGUACCAUUACCACUUCCGGCAGUUGCAACCUUGCGUAACCUAACAGAAAUGUAUAACGCUGAGAAAAUAAUUACUAGCUCUUUAGCCACACGAGGAAAACUCAAUUUUGAAUGACGUCAGCCUGACAUUUCCACCUUACCUGCUCCUUCAAUUUAGCCUGGGAUGAAACAAGGUGUUGCUCAAAGAUCUGGACAUCAGAAAAGGUCAGCCCACAAUGGACACACUGUCCAACCAAAGAAUAACCCUUCUCACUGGCAUGGAUGCUGAUGUGAGUGCUAAA